rnacentral:tRNA from 1 species
GGUGUCGUGGUGUAGUUGGUUAUCACGUCAGUCUAACACACUAAAGGUCUUCGGUUCGAGUUUGGGUGACGCCG